UGGGGAAUAUUGCACAAUGGGGGAAACCCUGAUGCAGCGACGCCGCGUGAACGAAGAAGGUAUUCGUAUCGUAAAGUUCUGUCCUAUGGGAAGAUAAUGACAGUACCAUAGAAGAAAGCUCCGGCUAAAUACGUGCCAGCAGCCGCGGUAAUACGUAUGGAGCGAGCGUUGUCCGGAAUUAUUGGGCGUAAAGGGUACGCAGGCGGUUUAAUAAGUCGAAUGUUAAAGAUCGGGGCUCAACCCUGCAAAGCAUUGGAAACUGAUAAACUUGAGUAGUGGAGAGGAAAGUGGAAUUCCUAGUGUAGUGGUGAAAUACGUAGAUAUUAGGAGGAAUACCAGUAGCGAAGGCGACUUUCUGGACACAAACUGACGCUGAGGUACGAAAGCGUGGGGAGCAAACAGG
rnacentral:rRNA from 1 species